CUAGCAGAGAGGUCGAAAAAAUAAAAUGAAAGCAAGUUUUAGUUCGCUAGGUAAAACACACCAGCAUAACCACAUCAGAUCCCAACAAUCCAGCCGCAAAAUCCAAGAACACAAACACACGUGGAUGCAGAAAUCGGCUAGAAAUCCGAGAAGGUACGAACACAUGGAAGAGCACAAGAACUCAUGCAUGCAGCAACCAGGCAUGGAUCCAAGUACAAGUAUAAACAGAAGCAUAUAUUCAAUAACACACACACACAUGCAUGCAGAUGUCAGCUAACAGAUCCCAUACAAGCUGGCACAGCUGUAUAAACGAAAGACAUAUCGGCUACAUCUGCGAUUAGCAGAUCAUGACGCGCAGCUACAAACUCAAGACGACGCACCACAUCCUCAGCAACCGGCAAACCUAG
rnacentral:lncRNA from 1 species